rnacentral:rRNA from 1 species
GAUGAACGCUGGCGGCGGGCCUAACACAUGCAAGUCGAGCGAACGCACGAGGAGCGCUCGCUUUUGCCGUUGGCGACGGACGGGUGAGUAAGACGUAGAUAACCUACCUCUAUGACUGGGGUAACAUCGGGGGACCGGAUACAAUACUAGCGCAUACGUCGAACGGGUGGGAUCAAUAGAGCUUGAGGGCUUUGCUGACUCUAAUAGCCGGUUCCGCGUCGGAUUAGCUAGUUGGUAAGGUAACGGCUUACCAAGGCGACGAUGCGUAGCCGAUCUGAGAGGAUGAUCAGCCACACUGGAACUGAGACACGGUCCAGACUCCUACGGGAGGCAGCAGUGGGGAAUAUUGGACAAUGGGCGAAAGCUUGACGGAGCAACGCCGCGUGAGUGAUGAAGGUCUUCGGAUCGUAAAGCUCUGUUAUUAGGGAAGAACAGCUGUAUGUGAAUAUAUGGACGUCUUGACGGUACCUAAAGAAAAAGCAACGGCUAACUUCGUG